rnacentral:tmRNA from 1 species
GGGGCUGAUUCUGGAUUCGACGGGAUUUGCGAAACCCAAGGUGCAUGCCGAGGGGCGGUUGGCCUCGUAAAAAGCCGCAAAAAAUAGUCGCAAACGACGAAAACUACGCUUUAGCAGCUUAAUAACCUGCUUAGAGCCCUCUCUCCCUAGCCUCCGCUCUUAGGACGGGGAUCAAGAGAGGUCAAACCCAAAAGAGAUCGCGUGGAAGCCCUGCCUGGGGUUGAAGCGUUAAAAACUUAAUCAGGCUAGUUUGUUAGUGGCGUGUCCGUCCGCAGCUGGCAAGCGAAUGUAAAGACUGACUAAGCAUGUAGUACCGAGGAUGUAGGAAUUUCGGACGCGGGUUCAACUCCCGCCAGCUCCACCA